GCCUGCGUCAUAAGGCGAUAUACUACGCAUAAAAAUAGUGAUGCAAUACAUAGAGGAGUUAAAAUGGAUUUCAAGUCUGAUCUAGAAUAUGCGACGAGCAAGCUGAAGAUAGAGUUUAGUUUUAGCGACUACCAAUUGAAAGCCCUAAAGAGUCUUUAUGAUUUGAAAGAUACGAUCGCAGUUCUCCUAACUGGCUCAGGAAAAAGCAUUAUUUUUCAGGGGUUCAGAUUUCUGCAAAGCGUUCAACAGACUUGGAGACCUGACAUGUUUGUUUCCCAAAAUACCUCACUUGGCACUUACAGCGACAGCAACACCAAAUGCUAUAGAAAAC